rnacentral:rRNA from 1 species
UACGUAGGUGACAAGCGUUGUCCGGAUUUACUGGGCGUAAAGAGCGCGCAGGCGGUCGAUCAAGUCGAGUGUGAAAGCCCCCGGCUCAACUGGGGAGGUCAUUCGAUACUGAUCGACUCGAAGGCAGGAGAGGGUAGUGGAAUUCCGGUGUAGUGGUGAAAUGCGUAGAUAUCGGAGGAACACCAGUGGCGAAGGCGACUACCUGGCCUGUUCUUGACGCUGAGCGCGAAAGCUAGGGAGCAACGGG